rnacentral:pre_miRNA from 1 species
GUUGAGAGGAAUGACGUCUGGUCUGAAGGCGCGCGGCGCGGCGGCUUCGGACCAGGCUUCAUUCCCCAUGAC